CUACGGGCGGCUGCAGUGAGGAAUAUUGCACAAUGGGGGAAACCCUGAUGCAGCAACGCCGCGUGGAGGAUGACGCAUUUCGGUGUGUAAACUCCUUUUAUAUGUCAAGAAAAUGACGGUAGCAUAUGAAUAAGCACCGGCUAACUCCGUGCCAGCAGCCGCGGUAAUACGGAGGGUGCAAGCGUUACUCGGAAUCACUGGGCGUAAAGGACGCGUAGGCUGGUUGGUAAGUCAGGUGUGAAAUCCUACAGCUUAACUGUAGAACUGCACUUGAAACUACCAACCUAGAGUAUGGGAGGGGGAGAUGGAAUUAGUGGUGUAGGGGGAAAAUCUGUAGAUAUCACUAGGAAUACCGAAAGCGAAGGCGAUCUCCUGGAACAUAACUGACGCUAAGGCGUGAAAGCGUGGGGAGCAAACAGGAUUAGAUACCCGUGUAGUC
rnacentral:rRNA from 1 species